CAUUUGACCUCAAAUCAGGUAGGACUACCCGCUGAACUUAAGCAUAUCAU
rnacentral:rRNA from 1 species